GGGCGUGUGAGUGGUGUUUGGUUUGCCGGGACGGUAGGCUCCAUGCUAGUGCAUCGAACUGCCAGCCCGCAUUCCACUUCGUGGAUUCGAGCAUGACUAGCUCUUGCUCGAGGAUUGCGGUGUUCCUGUAUUCGAUACCCAUGAUGACGGAAAUCGAUUGGUAGCGGUGAGCUUUUUCCGCCCGGCGCCCAUUCGUUGGGCGCGGGUGGACCACACAGCUCUGGCCCAUUAUUCCUAGCAAGCUCUUCGGGCUGCCACGGAAAAUGUUGGGGUAGAGUUCGUGCUCUCGGAUGCGGAAGACCGUGAGGCCGAAGGGAAAUUCAUCCUUUCUAUAUGGCCGAUACGAGAAUGUCCCUCGAAACGAACGACAGCCUCUGCACGCCGCGUUUUUCGCUCGCUCCUACGGAGCCUGGGGGAUUCGCGUGGGCACGGGUGUCGCGGAAGGAAUGUUACCUGGUUGAUCCUGCCAGUAGUCAUAUGCUUGUCUCAAAGAUUAAGCCAUGCAUGUGAC
rnacentral:misc_RNA from 1 species